CAUUACUCGACAACGUACCAGGUUCGUUGAGCAUCGCCAGCGGUGAAUUCAUAAACGGUAAACGAUCAUUCUUGGACUCCUAGAAACAGUGAACAUACAGUAUAAUGUAAAUGAAUGAUACCCGCUAUAAAGAUUGACAUAAUGAGAAUUAAAUAGCCACACGGAUUUGAUAUUGUAACUGUUGAAGACAAAAAUUUUCCAUCAAUUGUGUGUUUUGAAGUGAAACAUGGAGGUUUCACUAUGUCCGAUAAAAGUGAAGAAGAAGCCA